GGACCCGCACAAGUAGUGGAGCAUGUGGUUUAAUUCGAAGAUACGCGCAGAACCUUACCAACACUUGACAUGUUCGUCGCGACUUUAAGAGAUUAAAGUUUUCGGUUCGGCCGGACGAAACACAGGUGCUGCAUGGCUGUCGUCAGCUCGUGUCGUGAGAUGUUGGGUUAAGUCCCGCAACGAGCGCAACCCUCACUUUUAGUUGCCAUCAUUUAGUUGGGCACUCUGAAAGAACUGCCAGUGAUAAGCUGGAGGAAGGUGGGGAUGACGUCAAGUCCUCAUGGCCCUUACGUGUUGGGCUACACACGUGCUACAAUGGUAUCUACAACAGGAAGCAAGACUGCGAAGUU
rnacentral:rRNA from 1 species